AAAAUACUCCCUCCGUCUGGAAAUACAUGUAUUAAAGAUGAAUGUAUCUAGACUUAUAUUAGUUAUAGAUACAUUUAUUAUAUCAAUUUUUAGGACAAGUAUUUCCAGACGGAGGGAGUAAUUU
rfam:Hordeum vulgare subsp. vulgare, WGS project CAJW01000000 data, contig: morex_contig_233971